rnacentral:rRNA from 1 species
UAACACAUGCAAGUCGAGGGGUAAGGCUCUUUCGGGAGUACCGACCGGCGAACGGGUGAGUAUCGCGUUUGCACCUACCUUUAACUGGAGAAUAGCCCGAAGAAAUUCGGAUUAAUGCUCCAUAAUAUCAAGAGAAUGCAUAUUCUUUUGAUUAAAGCUCCGGCGGUUAAAGAUGGGCAUGCGUGCCAUUAGCUUGUUGGUGAGGUAACGGCUCACCAAGGCAACGAUGGCUAGGGGUUCUGAGAGGAUGAUCCCCCACACUGGUACUGAGACACGGACCAGACUCCUACGGGAGGCAGCAGUGAGGAAUAUUGGUCAAUGGGCGAAAGCCUGAACCAGCCAUGCCGCGUGCAGGAUGACGGCGCUAUGCGUUGUAAACUGCUUUUCUGCUCCAAGAACCCCCCGAUCGUGAUCGGGGUUGACGGUAGAGCAGGAAUAAGCAUCGGCUAACUCCGUGCCAGCAGCCGCGGUAAUACGGAGGAUGCAAGCGUUAUCCGGAUUUAUUGGGUUUAAAGGGUGCGUAGGCGGGAUAAUAAGUCAGUGGUGAAAUCCUGCGGCUUAACCGUAGAAUUGUCAUUGAUACUGUUAUUCUUGAGUUCAGUUGAGGUGGGCGGAAUGUAUAAUGUAGCGGUGAAAUGCUUAGAUAUUAUACAGAACACCGAUUGCGAAGGCAGCUCACUAAGCUGAUACUGACGCUGAGGCACGAAAGCGUGGGGAGCGAACAGGAUUAGAUACCCUGGUAG